rnacentral:rRNA from 1 species
AGAGUUUGAUCCUGGCUCAGAACGUACGCUGGCGGCACGCCUAACACAUGCAAGUCGAACGCAGUAGCAAUACUGAGUGGCAGACGGGUGAGUAACAUGUGGGAAUCUGCCUUGUGGUUCAGGMCACACAUUGGGAAACCGAAUKCUAAUACUGGAUAAGCCCUUACGGGGAAAGUUUUAAUGCCAUAAGAUKAGCCCGCAUUKGAUUAGUUAGUKGGUGAGGUGGAUGGCUCACCAAGACAAUGAUCAAUAGCUGAUUCUGAGAGGAUGAUCAGSCACACUGGGACUGAGACACGKCCCAGACUCCUACGGGAGGCAGCAGUGGGGAAUCUUGCACAAUGGAGGAAACUCUGAUGCAGCGAUGCCGCGUGAGUGAAGAAGGCCUUUGGGUUGUAAAGCUCUUUUGUAGGGGAAGAUAAUGACUGUACCCUAAGAAUAAGGUCCGGCUAACUUCGUGCCAGCAGCCGCGGUAAUACGAAGGGACCUAGCGUAGUUCGGAAUUACUGGGCGUAAAGCGCGCGUAGGCCGUUGAGUUAGUUAAUUGUGAAAUCCCAAAGCUUAACUUUGGAACUGCAAUUAAAACUGCUCGACUAGAGUUUGAUAGAGGAAAGCGGAAUACAUAGUGUAGAGGUGAAAUUCGUAGAUAUUAUGUAGAACACCAGUUGCGAAGGCGGCUUUCUGGAUCAACACUGACGCUGAGGCGCGAAAGUAUGGGUAGCAAAGAGGAUUAGAUACCCUCGUAGUCCAUACCAUAAACGAUGAUUGCUAGAUGUUGGAAAUUUAUUUUCAGUAUCGCAGCUAACGCAUUAAGCAAUCCGCCUGGGGAGUACGACCGCAAGGUUAAAACUCAAAUGAAUUGACGGGGACCCGCACAAGCGGUGGAGCAUGUGGUUUAAUUCGAAGAUACGCGCAGAACCUUACCAACCCUUGACAUGUCUGUCGCGAGUUUAGGAAACUAGACUUUUCGGUUCGGCCGGACAGAAACACAGGUGCUGCAUGGCUGUCGUCAGCUCGUGUCGUGAGAUGUUGGGUUAAGUCCCGCAACGAGCGCAACCCCUACUUUUAGUUGCCAUCAGGUCAUGCUGGGCACCUCUUGAAAGAACCUGCCAGUGAUAAGGCUGGAGGAAGGUGGGRAUGAACGUCAAGUCUCUCAUGGCCCUUACSGGUUGGGCUACACCACGUGUCUACAAUKGUAKUGACAWUGAGAAUGCAAGGUGGCSAGCGCCCCUAAGCUUAAACCUCARARAUCUACCUCAGUUCGGAUUGCACUCUGCAACUCGAGUGCAUGAAGCUGGAAUCGCUAGUAAUCGUAGAUCAGCGUGCUACGGUGAAUACGUUCCCGGGUCUUGUACACACCGCCCGUC